AUUGAACGCUGGCGGCGUGCUUUACACAUGCAAGUCGAACGGCAGCGCGGGCGUCGGCCUUGCGGCGAGUGGCGAGCGGGGGGGGAGUACAUCGGAAGGGGCCCAGUCGUAGGGGAGGGCGCGGCGAAAGCAGGAAUAAUACCGAAUACGACCUGAGGGGGAAAGCGGGGGAGCUUGGGGCAAUGCGCGUUGGGAGCGUCCGACGGCCGAUUAGCUAGUUGGUGGGGUAACGGGCCACCAAGGCGACGAUCGGUAGCCGGACUGAGAGGUUGAGCGGCCACAUUGGGACUGAGACACGGCCCAGACUCCUACGGGAGGCAGCAGUGGGGAAUAUUGCACAAUGGGGGAAACCCUGAUGCAGCGACGCCGCGUGGAGGAAGAAGGUCUGCGGAUUGUAAACUCCUGUUGUUGGGGAAGAUAAUGACGGUACCCAACAAGGAAGUGACGGCUAACUACGUG
rnacentral:rRNA from 1 species